GUCUCAGGAAAUAUUUCCUAUCGAGGGC
rnacentral:sRNA from 1 species